UACAGCCAUAACACGUUAAAAUACCGGUUCCUCUAAGAUCACCGAAGUUAAGCAACGACGAGCCUGGUAAGUAUCUAAAUGGGUGACCGCUUGGGAAUAUCAGGUGAUGCAAG